AGUGAACGCUGGCGGUAGGCCUAACACAUGCAAGUCGAACGGCAGCACAGGAGAGCUUGCUCUCUGGGUGGCGAGUGGCGGACGGGUGAGGAAUACAUCGGAAUCUACUUUUUCGUGGGGGAUAACGUAGGGAAACUUACGCUAAUACCGUAUACGACCUACGGGUGAAAGCAGGGGAUCUUCGGACCUUGCGCGAUUGAAUGAGCCGAUGUCGGAUUAGCUAGUUGGCGGGGUAAAGGCCCACCAAGGCGACGAUCCGUAGCUGGUCUGAGAGGAUGAUCAGCAACACUGGAACGGAGACACGGUCCAGACUCCUACGGGAGGCAGCAGUGGGGAAUAUUGGACAAGGGGCGCAAGCCUGAUCCAGCCAUACCGCGUGGGUGAAGAAGGCCUUCGGGUUGUAAAGCCCUUUUGUUGGGAAAGAAAUCCAGCUGGUUAAUACCCGGUUGGGAUGACGGUACCCAAAGAAUAAGCACCGGCUAACUUCGUGCCAGCAGCCGCCGUAA
rnacentral:rRNA from 1 species